rnacentral:rRNA from 1 species
GUGAACAUACCACUUGUUGCCUCGGCGGAUCAGCCCGCUCCCGGUAAAACGGGACGGCCCGCCAGAGGACCCCUAAACUCUGUUUCUAUAUGUAACUUCUGAGUAAAACCAUAAAUAAAUCAAAACUUUCAACAACGGAUCUCUUGGUUCUGGCAUCGAUGAAGAACGCAGCAAAAUGCGAUAAGUAAUGUGAAUUGCAGAAUUCAGUGAAUCAUCGAAUCUUUGAACGCACAUUGCGCCCGCCAGUAUUCUGGCGGGCAUGCCUGUUCGAGCGUCAUUUCAACCCUCAAGCACAGCUUGGUGUUGGGACUCGCGUUAAUUCGCGUUCCCCAAAUUGAUUGGCGGUCACGUCGAGCUUCCAUAGCGUAGUAGUAAAACCCUCGUUACUGGUAAUCGUCGCGGCCACGCCGUUAAACCCCAACUUCUGAAUGUUGACCUCGGAUCAGGUAGGAAUACCCGCUGAACUUAAGCAUAU